CUACACUGCAGCCUUUGCCACAUCGGCGAAUCGUCGUGUGUCACAAAGGAAGAAAGGAAGGAGGGAAGGUCAAUUGUUUGUCAUUUCCUUGAAAUGCGAUGGAUUCAACUUACAAGUGCUAUCGUUCCGCGCGGAGGAAGGUGUUGUGUUGAAAGUGCGACGUACAGCUCGUGGGUGCAGUUGGCGGGUUUGUCCAUGCGGUGUCCCUCCUUGAGCAGCUUGAAGAGUUCCUCCACGGGGAUGCCCGGGUAUGGCGAACCCCCCAGCGUGAAGAUCUCCCACAGUAACACGCCGACGUUCCUGGCCGCCAGGUCUCGGUGGAUGCACUGCAAUGGGAAGGAAGUUACCAGACGCGUCAGACCUACUGCAUGGCGACAGUACGGAAAACACAACUUUGUUUUCUCGUGACAUCGCAACUUUCUUUUCCACGUUUCCCGACCCGAUCAGCUGUUUUAAAAGACGUCGCACUCGGAAGCGGUGACAGCCCUGACGAAGGGUGGACUGACAAGCGAAACUGUCAGCAAUGUGAAGCUGCUGUUUGCUACUUUUGCCGACGGCCAAAGUGUGUUUGAAGUCCGCACACGACUGACCUUCUGCGAGGCGAGGUACUCCAUGCCUCUGGCCACCUGGUAGGCGCAGGACACCAAGUCUUUGAAGGUCAGCUGCUCGUCUGGGAUUUUGCAGGUAUCAAAGGAGUAGUCCAUGCCCGGCGGCCGACGUGCCCUCAGGUACUCCCUUAGGUUGCCUUUGGAGGCGUACUCCACCAGAACGUAGAGCGGACCUGCGGGACUGUGUGGUUACUUCCAGGUCGGACAAAUCUUUAUCUGUCGCGUCAUCUGAGACAAGAGAUGGAGAAGGAGGACGCGUCAGGGAAGCGAAGCGCUUAGAAAGCGUCUUCGAAGUACAGGCAAGUAGUCAGGUGACUGCAUUUUUUUUUCCACACGCUUGGGAGUUUACGACUUCUUUCUUCAUAAUUUGACAUUUAUUUUCGUAAGGUUACAAUUACAUUUUAGAUUUUUUUGCUUGUAUCGUGACUUUACAACUUUUUUUAACGGAAGUUAUGACGUUCCUGUAAAGUUAUUAUUAUUAUUAUUAUCCUAUUAUUUCUUGUGACUUCACUAGGUUUAUCUUGUCAACUUUUUUUCCAUGACAUUACUUUUUCCUCUUGACUUUACAAAUGUAUCUUUAUCUUUUUUUCUUGUACCAUGACUACUUUUGUUCUCAUAAUUUUACAUUAUUAUUAUUAUAUAAGAUUACAACUUGUUUGGGGGCAGUAUUAAAACAUUUCUCCAUAAUUGUACAACAUAUGUCUUGUAAUUUUACAUGACAAUGUACCCAAGAUUCAAAAGCAAAAUCCAAAACAAAUCUGUUGAAAGAUCACAAUGAAAAAAACCCCAAAAAGC